CUCCAAGCAGUCCUCACUGAGAUCCCAGGAGGAAUGUGCAUUCGCCAGGGGAAAAUCAUUUGCUAUUGGUGAGGAGUGGCUGGAGGCGGGGGUCAGGGGAGCAGUAGUCCAUGUGCAAACUCUGGGCAAGAGGAGCAGGCUGGGUGUGGGCGCCAUGGCUCACUCCUGUAAUCUAAUCCCAUCACUUUGGGAGACCGAGGCAGGAGGAAACCUUGAGGUCAGGAGUUUGAGACCAGCCUGAGCAAUAUAGUGAGACCCCAUCUCUACAAAAGAGCAACAAUGAAAAAGACAUCUAUGAGAAAUCCAUGGGCAGAGAAAGCAUAAUAAGCAAUGGUGUAGCAGUAUAAGCACAGGCCAAGCAAGGCGGGCCUUGAGAUGAGGCCAGAUGGGGCCUGAAUCAGGGUGGGUUCAGCAUGUCCAGGAAGGUGCUGCUACUUCACAGACAGGACUCACAGCAUGUACCAUUAGAGACUGGAUCAUUAAAGCACUGGAUAGAACUCUUCAGGCUGUGGAGUGUGUAGGCCACUUCCUGAAGUUCUUAGUGAAUUGUUAUGAGAAAAAGACAAGCGUCUGUCAUCUGAAAGUUAAAAAAGAAGAAAAAUGUGUCUUGAGAAAAGAAGUCCUUUUUCUUUUGGUAGCUGAGUGCCAGACACCACCAUACUUUGCGAGGUUGGAAAAGGUGAGUUCUCUGUUACGUGAUGACGUUUGUUCCAGCAAAGACAGAGACACUGGAAACGGAACAGAAGAAGCGCUAAAAUUGGGAAGGAGCUGGAGCCCGAUUUUGACUUGUCCAAGACAGAAUUGCUCCUAUCUGGAUUAUACAAACAACUCCAGCAUAAAUCAGUAA
rnacentral:lncRNA from 1 species